CGGAAUUAAUACCGCAUACGCUCUACGGAGGAAAGGGGGGGAUCUUAGGACCUCUCGCUACAGGGGCGGCCGAUGGCAGAUUAGCUAGUUGGUGGGGUAAAGGCCUACCAAGGCGACGAUCUGUAGCUGGUCUGAGAGGACGACCAGCCACACUGGGACUGAGACACGGCCCAGACUCCUACGGGAGGCAGCAGUGGGGAAUUUUGGACAAUGGGCGCAAGCCUGAUCCAGCAAUGCCGCGUGUGUGAAGAAGGCCUUCGGGUUGUAAAGCACUUUUGUCCGGAAAGAAAACCUCUGGGUUAAUACCCCGGGGGGAUGACGGUACCGGAAGAAUAAGCACCGGCUAACUACGUGCCAGCAGCCGCGGUAAUACGUAGGGUGCAAGCGUUAAUCGGAAUUACUGGGCGUAAAGCGUGCGCAGGCGGUCUGCUAAGACAGAUGUGAAAUCCCCGGGCUUAACCUGGGAACUGCAUUUGUGACUGGCAGGCUAGAGUAUGGCAGAGGGGGGUAAGA
rnacentral:rRNA from 1 species